GACUUAAUACUUUAAAUUAAAAGAUCUGACUUGCAUUCAGAAAAUAGGCUGAUUAGUUAUGCCUUUAGGUCA
rnacentral:tRNA from 1 species